AACGAACGCUGGCGGCAUGCCUAACACAUGCAAGUCGAACGAAACCUCCGGGUCUAGUGGCGCACGGGUGCGUAACGCGUGGGAACCUGCCCUUAGGUUCGGAAUAACUCCCCGAAAGGGGUGAUAAUACCGGAUAAUAUCUUCGGACCCAAGAUUUAUCGCCUUUGGGUGGGCCAGCGUUGGAUUAGCUUGUUGGUAGAGUAAAAGCCUACCAAGGCGACGAUUCAUAGCUGGACUGAGAGGAUGGUCAGCCACACUGGGAGUGGGACACGGCCCAGACUCCUACGGGUGGGAGCAGUGGGGAAUAUGGGACACUGGGCGAGAGCCUGAUCCAGCAAUGCCGCGUGAGUGAUGAAGGCGUUAGGGUUGUAAAGCUCUUUUACCCGGGAUGAUAAGAACAGUACCGGGAGAAUAAGCUCCGGCUAACUCCGU
rnacentral:rRNA from 1 species